rnacentral:lncRNA from 1 species
AUUAUCUUCUCGUUAUCCACUAAUCCACAUGAUCCAAAAGUUAUCUCGUGCAUGAGGAUAACGCUUUUUGUUUUUUUUUCGUAACUUUAGUAUUUCCUUAUCUGUUACUUAGCGGAUGGAGCAUGAUGCACUGAGACUAAAAAUUAUAAGUAAUCACUAAUAUAUACUAUAGUAAUGAUUAGUGAGCGGUGUGCAGCCUCGAUAGUGUUCUCCUCUCACUGG